rnacentral:tRNA from 1 species
UCCUCGGUAGUAUAGUGGUGAGUAUCCGCGCCUGUCACGUGGCGAGACCCGGGUUCGAUUCCCGGCCGGGGAG